rnacentral:rRNA from 1 species
UACGGAGGGUGCAAGCGUUAUCCGGAUUUACUGGGUUUAAAGGGUGCGUAGGCGGGCCUUUAAGUCAGUGGUGAAAUCCCCGGGCCUAACCCGGGAACUGCCAUUGAUACUAUUGGUCUUGAAUUCAGUUGAGGUGGGCGGAAUGUGUCGUGUAGCGGUGAAAUGCUUAGAUAUGACACAGAACACCGAUUGCGAAGGCAGCUCGCUAAACUGACAUUGACGCUGAGGCACGAAAGCGUGGGGAUCAAACAGG